rnacentral:rRNA from 1 species
UAGGGAAUAUUGGACAAUGGGUGAGAGCCUGAUCCAGCCAUGCCGCGUGCAGGAAGAAGGCCUUCUGGGUUGUAAACUGCUUUUGCCAGGGGAUAAAAUUUCCAUGCGUGGAGAAUUGAAGGUACCUGGUGAAUAAGCCACGGCUAACUACGUGCCAGCAGCCGCGGUAAUACGUAGGUGGCAAGCGUUGUCCGGAUUUAUUGGGUUUAAAGGGUGCGUAGGCGGUUCCAUAAGUCAGUGGUGAAAUACAAUAGCUUAACUAUUGAGGUGCCAUUGAUACUGCGGAACUUGAGUACAGAUGAGGUAGGCGGAAUUGACGGUGUAGCGGUGAAAUGCAUAGAUAUCGUCAAGAACACCGAUAGCGAAGGCAGCUUACCAAGCUGUAACUGACACUGAGGCACGAAAGUGUGGGGAUCAAACAGGAUUAGAUACCCUAGUAGUCCCUGAGCGGGCUGGCAAGGCGCAU